ACGCUGGCGGCGUGCUUAACACAUGCAAGUCGAACGGAAAGGCCCUGCUUUUGUGGGGUGCUCGAGUGGCGAACGGGUGAGUAACACGUGAGUAACCUGCCCUUGACUUUGGGAUAACUUCAGGAAACUGGGGCUAAUACCGGAUAGGAGCUCCUGCUGCAUGGUGGGGGUUGGAAAGUUUCGGCGGUUGGGGAUGGACUCGCGGCUUAUCAGCUUGUUGGUGGGGUAGUGGCUUACCAAGGCUUUGACGGGUAGCCGGCCUGAGAGGGUGACCGGCCACAUUGGGACUGAGAUACGGCCCAGACUCCUACGGGAGGCAGCAGUGGGGAAUAUUGCACAAUGGGCGGAAGCCUGAUGCAGCAACGCCGCGUGCGGGAUGACGGCCUUCGGGUUGUAAACCGCUUUCGCCUGUGACGAAGCGUGAGUGACGGUAAUGGGUAAAGAAGCACCGGCUAACUACGUGCCAGCAGCCGCGGUGAUACGUAGGGUGCGAGCGUUGUCCGGAUUUAUUGGGCGUAAAGGGCUCGUAGGUGGUUGAUCGCGUCGGAAGUGUAAUCUUGGGGCUUAACCCUGAGCGUGCUUUCGAUACGGGUUGACUUGAGGAAGGUAGGGGAGAAUGGAAUUCCUGGUGGAGCGGUGGAAUGCGCAGAUAUCAGGAGGAACACCAGUGGCGAAGGCGGUUCUCUGGGCCUUUCCUGACGCUGAGGAGCGAAAGCGUGGGGAGCGAACAGGCUUAGAUACCCUGGUAGUUCCACGCUGUAAACGGUGGGUACUAGGUGUGGGGUCCAUUCCACGGGUUCCGUGCCGUAGCUAACGCUUUAAGUACCCCGCCUGGGGAGUACGGCCGCAAGGCUAAAACUCAAAGGAAUUGACGGGGCCCCGCACAAGCGGCGGAGCAUGCGGAUUAAUUCGAUGCAACGCGUAGAACCUUACCUGGGUUUGACAUGGAUCGGGAGUGCUCAGAGAUGGGUGUGCCUCUUUUGGGGUCGGUUCACAGGUGGUGCAUGGCUGUCGUCAGCUCGUGUCGUGAGAUGUUGGGUUAAGUCCCGCAACGAGCGCAACCCUUGUUCACUGUUGCCAGCACGUUAUGGUGGGGACUCAGUGGAGACCGCCGGGGUCAACUCGGAGGAAGGUGGGGAUGACGUCAAGUCAUCAUGCCCCUUAUGUCCAGGGCUUCACGCAUGCUACAAUGGCUGGUACAGAGAGUGGCGAGCCUGUGAGGGUGAGCGAAUCUCGGAAAGCCGGUCUCAGUUCGGAUUGGGGUCUGCAACUCGACCUCAUGAAGUCGGAGUCGCUAGUAAUCGCAGAUCAGCAACGCUGCGGUGAAUACGUUCCCGGGGCUUGUACACACCGCCCGUCAAGUCAUGAAAGUUGGUAACACCCGAAGCCGGUGGCCUAACCGUUGUGGGGGAGCCGUCGAAGGUGGGACUGGUGAUUAGGA
rnacentral:rRNA from 1 species